GCUUAACUGCGGAGUUCUGAUGG
rnacentral:siRNA from 1 species